UUAAAUUUGGUUUCACAUAUAUUAAAACUGCAACAAUACAGAGACGAUUAGCAUGGCUCCAGCGCAAGGAUGACACUCAAAUUCGUGAAGCGUUCCAUACUUUU